rnacentral:rRNA from 1 species
CGUAGGGUGCAAGCGUUAAUCGGAAUUACUGGGCGUAAAGCGUGCGCAGGCGGUUUCGUAAGUCUGUCGUGAAAUCCCCGGGCUCAACCUGGGAAUGGCGAUGGAGACUGCGAGGCUAGAGUUUGGCAGAGGGGGGUAGAAUUCCACGUGUAGCAGUGAAAUGCGUAGAGAUGUGGAGGAACACCGAUGGCGAAGGCAGCCCCCUGGGUCAAAACUGACGCUCAUGCACGAAAGCGUGGGGAGCAAACAGGAUUAGAUACCCUGGUAGUCCACGCCCUAAACGAUGUCUACUAGUUGUUGGGUCUUAAUUGACUUAGUAACGCAGCUAACGCGUGAAGUAGACCGCCUGGGGAGUACGGUCGCAAGAUUA